CCUACGGGUGGCUGCAGUGGGGAAUAUUGCACAAUGGGGGAAACCCUGAUGCAGCGACGCCGCGUGAGUGAAGAAGUAUUUCGGUAUGUAAAGCUCUAUCAGCAGGGAAGAAGAAAGACGGUACCUGACUAAGAAGCCCCGGCUAACUACGUGCCAGCAGCCGCGGUAAUACGUAGGGGGCAAGCGUUAUCCGGAUUUACUGGGGGUAAAGGGAGCGUAGACGGGUGUGCAAGUCUGAAGGGAAAGGCCAGGGCUCAACCCUGGGACUGCUUUGGAAACUGUGGAGCUAGAGUGCUGGAGAGGUAAGGGGGAUGUCGAGUGGAGGCGGGAAAUGCGGAG
rnacentral:rRNA from 1 species